rnacentral:tRNA from 1 species
UCUCUGGUAGUAUAUCGGAUAGUACACCCGCCUGUCAUCGUAAGAUGGACGCGGGAAAGCGGGGUUCGAUUCCCCGCCAGAGAG